CCCUAACCCCCGAACCGGCUUCAAUCCAGCUGACUUUGAUCCAUUCAAUGUUCCGUGAUUUCCAAACUCUGGCUGAAGUGGAGCUCGUAGUUCCAGCCUCCAGCAAUUCAUCCAGAGGUCAGGAGAAAAGAUCAUGUCCAUAACCUCAGUGCGAUUAUUUAAUUUUAUUGUGAUUAUUCUGACUGCAGUCGGCGGUCUCAGAGGAAGUUACAUGUAACAUUAGAAAACAACCUUUCUAUGUAAAUAUCAUGGUAGAUACCUGCAGCUUUUAGACGAGUGCGGUCUUUAUGUGAAAAAUUGUAAAGUGAGUGGGUGUGGCUCACAUUCAAUAGACCAGAAAUUACCGUAAAUGUUGUAGUAGCCUCGAAAGGACUCCUUAAUAAAGCCUCAGCGUUUCCCUCCAAACCUCAGGAACCAAUCACGGUCCAGCAGAGACAACCUCAGGAACCAAUCACGGUCCAGCAGAGACAACCUCAGGAACCAAUCACGGUCCAGCAGAGACAACCCAACGUCCAGGAUGUUUUCUGACUUUCAUCCACCAUCUUGAUUCUGCCCAAAGGUCUCCAUAGAGAGGUUUGGUAUCUACGGCGCCCCUGCUGACCAGAUAACUCAGUAAUUUGUCCACUUCAAGGACUGAUGAGGAAGUCAGUAAAUCAGAGCAGGUCGUUACCGGCGCCGCUGACCUUCAUCAGGACCAUCACCAUCACUCCAUUUCCAGGAAGCCUCUCCGCAGGAGGCGUCGCUGCGGUCGGGACGCGUCGUAAAGCCGCGCCGCCGCGGGAUUUAUGGAUUUAUUCAUCAGCUUCUGAAAAGGGUCCGCAUCACUUUGUGGGCAGUACUGGGAGGACUGGGACCAGACUGGCUGAGGCUGAGAGGAAGGCCAACACGGUUAACCUUCGUGCUCCUCUUCCUCAGCUGCUCCCUGACACACGGAAACUGAGGGAGAAAUGGGUCAUGAAAGGUCAAACUGGGGCUUUAACUGGGAAUAAAGAUCUGGAUGCAGUAAAUAAAGAAACAAGAGGAAAAGGUCGGGAAGGCAGGAGGAUUGGAUCAGACUUCAUCUGCUGCAGAUCUAAUCAUCCAGAGUCGCAGAGAACAGCUUCUCUCUCUGAGGCGGCUGUUAGUGUCACAGGAACCAGACAAAACGUCUCUGUUUGGUUCCCAUCAUGCCCCCCGCAUUAAAGCACUGACUGUUUACACCCAGAGCGCCGCGUCCUGCCAAACCCGCGCUCCACCCAAACAAACCGCCAUUCAUCACAUUUACACCCCGAGGAGGCUGCCAGCAGCCGCUGCCUCCAUCCGUCAGCAGGAAACCCAAACUCCAGGAACGCUUCGCUCCCUCCUGCUCCGACGUUCUGCACACAACCUUUGCAGAACCUUUGCAGAAACCCUGGAGGUGUUUGAAACCUGAACUUUCUACUGCAGCUUCAGAAAUGUGGGCAUAUUCAUCAGGUGAUGAAUAUGCAUCAUCAGACGAUGCCUCUGUGUCUCAUUCGUAUAAAUAACCCAGCUGGAGAAACCGCAGAAACCAGACGAGCUUCAGAUGAAACUAAAACAUGGAAACUUCCUGUGUGAAUGUGGAGAUUAUCCAUCAACACACACACCUCUGAUCUGACCUCUGCUGCACAGAAGGUCGUUUGUAGGUCACAUGAGUCGGCCUCAGGCGCCGAGGUUCAGUCAUCUGGGAAAUCAGACAAUACUCCACUCAACGUCACCAAAUGAUUAUUUAUGAAAACUCUGACGAAGUUGGAAAUUUGAUUAAUAAUUUUUGUUUGUUGUAAAGCAGAUUUUGUUUCACUGUUUGCAGCAGUUCAUCCACAUUCCUCUGACACGCCUCCUGACCUGCAUCGUCUCGGUUUAAUAACUUAUAUUCUAACAAGAUGUUUAAAAAUAGUUCAGCUGAUUUGUCUGCCUCCAUGUCUAACAGGAAGUCGACACUGAUUGGCUGACAUCGGCUUUAGCUCUGUCUCCUGAAAAACGGCGAUCAGUAGCAGAGACGUUUUUAUUUGGAUGAAAACUUUUCCAUGUUUACGAUAUUUCUUAAAAACAACGUGUGGAAAAUAUUUGUUUUAUAAAACAGAUUUUGUGAAUAUUGCAUCCAUUUGUGCUCAUUAGUGUUGCUCUGCCUGAUGGUCAGCUCUCUUUCCCCGCCUUUCAUUUCAUCCUGUUUUCCUCUCCUCCAUCCUUUCAUUUCAUCCUGUUUCCUCUCUUCCAUCCUUUCAUCUCAUCCUGUUUCCUCUCUUCCAUCUCUUCAUUUCAUCCUGUUUUCCUCUCUUCCAUCUCUUCAUUUCAUCCUUUUUUCCUCUCUUCCAUCCUUUCAUUUCAUCCUGUUUUCCUCUCUUCCAUCUCUUCAUCUCAUCCUGUUUUC